AAACUUGAUGCAAGUCAGUUAAUUUCCUUUCCCAGCGCCCGGUUCCGGGCGGCAUUGACGCCGGUCAAUUUUCCUCCGCGCCCAUUUGGGUAACUUAGCUCCAUCGCAACAGGGCGAGUGCAGGAGGCCAGUCAUGUUUUUCGAUAACGUGGUGAUCGCUGGAGUGUUGACCGUAGGUCUCAUGGUGGUGUUUCUCGGCGGAUUUGGAUUUUUUAUCUGGAAAGACUCACAUAAGAGGAAGAAACCCUAGGUCUUUUCAGAGAACGAGCACGCAAGGCAUUUUGGGCGACUUCGGUCGCCUUUU
rnacentral:sRNA from 1 species